rnacentral:lncRNA from 1 species
CUCACUACACUAGUCAAAAUGAAAAUACCCAUUCAUUAACCCCUUCCUACAUAAUAUAUGAAGUCAUCAUUAAUUUAAGUACAAUAUACCCUAGAUUAUUUUAGGGUGUAAUAUUAUAUUUCCACACAUCGGACUCAAUCCUUAAAAAGUACUCUUAAUUAUUUCUAAGUAACCUACAUUCCAUUAGUCAGCAUUCAAAAUAACUUCUGAUCCACGUAGUUCCUCUCUAUUAACCCAUUUAUUAUGGAACGGCAUUAUUACUAUUAAGAAAUGUUGCGUCAUUUGUACGGAAUGGAAGUACCCUCUCGCUCAGCAUCGAUGUUAGUGGAAUGAAUAGGUCUUUUAUGAGUCAAGACUUCCUAAAAACAAGUCAUCGAUAUCAUAUAUUACGUACGAAGUGAAACAGAAAAAUGAAAGCUUCGAUUAUUUUAUUAAUUCACUGUUCCAUCACUUCAAUGGGCCUGGUGAUCGUUCAAUGAAGAGUAUUUAACGAAUUCAUGGCAUUACUUUACCAAAACACAAAAAUAUGAUUUUAGGAAAAAAUGGCAAGGGAAAAAAAAAGGAAAAGUGAUUAAGUGGAGAAAAUAGCAAGAUUAUUUUAAACUGAUAUAAUACCUGGCUAACGGCUAUCUGUUAUCACCAAUAUACAGAGCAUUAGUCCGCUCAAGAAAUCCUGAACGCACUCCUGCUCAUUUCUUCGUUCGUAUAGCUCUAUAUUUGAAAUUGAAAACACUUUAUGAUUGCAAUUAAAU